CUUCCCGCCGGCGGCCCCGCUCCCCCGGCGAGGGACCGGCCCGGCCGCUCCCGCUGCCCGGGAGCUGCCGCAGCCGCGUCGGAACCCCGGAGCCCGCGUCCGCAGCCUUGCCGGGGCCGCUCUGCGGGGGACCGAAGUCGCGGUGGCGGCCGAGAGGAGGGAUGCGGCCGCGCUCAGCACCUUGGCGUGCUGGGGGAGCAGGCGCGACCGAGCGGCGGCCCGCGGGCCCGUGCGGGGCCCGGGCUGUGUAACGCUCCCACCAACGACCGAGCGCACCCUCGGGGCGUUCGCAGCACUGAUUCAUCAUCUUGUUUUGAAGCACGGACCUUCAGCACAAACUGCCAGUACUUGAGUUAUCAGACUAAGAGCUACACGAACUGCUAAAAAAUCAGGUCAUUGACUCAAGCUAUAAGGCCCAGCCUGGCUCCUUCAUCACCCAGUGAUAGUUUGGUGGUAGACCUGCCCUAGAAGCCCAAGACCAGGCAGACUCGUGGAUCCGAAUGCCACGGUCUCAAUGCAGGCGUUGCCUCGUAUGGUACGACCGGGAGGGAGAGGUUCUGAAUUAACAAGGGACUGGGAACUGAAGUUCAAACAUUCCAUCGAAUCUUUGAAGUUUCAAGCCGCCUCUGUGUUUCCAAGCACAGAAUCCAGCCAGCCUGCUAAUAACGGUUAUGGCAGCCCACUGAAACGUAGCGUCACUACUUAGCUUGCGGCAGUCAAGAGCGAGAAACAAAGACAAUUGUUAAAUGUCCUUCCUCACCAGGAGCUUGCUAAGCAGAAAAUGCUAGAAAACAAGAAGUAGAGCAGUUGUUACCAGGUGCCUGGAUAAUUUUAGUGCCAAUCUUAAAGCCCAUGCUUACUCAAGAAAAUGCAGUCGGAUGAAGUGCAAUUCUGGGGUCGUCAUCAUGCUGUUCUGGACAAAGAGAAGUUACAAAUGACCACAAGCAACGUACCCUUUGGGAUGAAACUGCUGGCUGCCACCAUUAUACAUCUUUUUCCUCUUUGAUUCUCUGAAGUUGGGCGGCCUUUUCCUCCUCUUUUUUUGGUUUGCAUUAUUGCAAAAAUAGUUUGAGGUUGUAACUACAUCUUCUGCUUCCUCAUCACUCCCUGGUGUGCCAGCGCUCCCCGUAGCUGUCUCCACGCUUGGGCAGGCAGCAUCUUCUACAGAUAGACAGGGAUUUAAAACGUAACAAAAUGAAGACAUUGCCUGGGCCGGCCAGAACACACCGACUGUACCAAGACUUCCGUCCUUGCUGUUCAAGGCCUCCUUUGCACCGCCUUCAUCCCAGCGAUGCUCCAGGCUCAGCUAACGGUGCUACAGAGUUGGCAUAAACCAAAACUGCCUUCUGCCCUUGCUUUAGCUCAUGACACAAAAGAAUACCGGGCAGUCCUAUUUGCUUGGCUUCUUGUCUAAACUAUUUUGGUAACACUGGGCUUUCUGCCUUUACACUCCCUUCCCCAUGUCAGCUGGAAAGAAUUAUGGAAUAUACCAUAAAUACUACAGUCAAAUAUGGCACGUGUAUUUAAAAACAGCAUCAAGAGACUGAAAGGCUCAGAGAGCCGAGAGCUCCUUCUCAAUCAGGCAUGAUCAAGACGGACAUGAUUCUUUGCACAGGCAGUAGAUUACAAUACUUAAAAAAAUCAGGUUUGUAGCUGUGCAUUUACUCACAUUGCAGUGAAUGAAAGCACAACCUCCUUAAAAGUAAGCGCGAGUCGCUUUAGAAUCGCAAGCCCCAAUGCCAGAUCUGAUAGCCAAGCUGUAAGAAAUAUUCUAAUGACAACACAGCCCACGUGCUACGCUCACGUGACAUUACCAGGUUUACUAGUCUCGGGGCUCAACUCUCCACUGAGCUGAACUUUGUAUAUGAGGCGAGAGCUGUGCAGAGGCAUUGUAAAAUACUGCCAUUGUGACCGGAGAGCGUUAUUUAUGCCUAGCUUUGGAAGCUGUUCACAUUUGACCAGGGGCUAGUCAGUGAAGGCCUGAACUUGCUGAAUUUGAUUACUAUGAAAACUAAAAGGUAGUCGUUAUUGAUUAUCUGGCAGGCUACAACAUUACCCCAUACACAGUAAAUGCAGGUGUAAAAAUAUGCAGGAGGUGCAAGACCUUUAACCUUAAGGUCAGAAUUCCAUUAUAACUAAGCAUAUUACAUAAUUGCCAAUAACUAAUAGGUUGGGAGCAGAGCGGCCUGCUUAGUUCUCAUUUUUGUUUUUUAGUCUCUGGAGAACACGGCAAAGAGCUUUGUAUGUUCUGAAAGUGCGCAAUUGCUCCCUUUUUUGUAAUUAUUAAACUGCAAGAAUUCGUUAUUUGUAUUUAAAACAAGGUAACUUUUGAGUGAAACUUCUGCUAGGGGAGCAGAGAAGGGUACUGAACAGGAAAGCAAACCCUUGGGUACAAAGUAUACCGAACCUGGCACGGUCCAUUCAGAGUACUUAUCCAUCACUUGAAUUAUUUCUGCACCGUAUUUUUCCAGUUUGUCUUCUGUGACACCAUCAAUCUGCAGUAAGACCUCCACAUCAGACGACAAGGUUUCUGUAGCGUAACAAAGUACCAAUUAGACAUGUCAAACAAACAUUUUUUGUAUGACAGAUCACGGUAGAGUGUUCUGGAGGAUAUUAAUUCCUUUUAGUGCCACCCUACACAUUAGUCCUUAAGGAAGUAAGCCUUUGGUCUAGCAGAUCUGCCUCUAGUUCGUUAGCACAAGAACUAGUCCAGAACUUUUCCCUGAAAGUGCUUCAAAGUUUGUUUGGUGGCUCUUAUGCUGACGCAGCAGGACUGCCACAGCAUAAACUGCAGCUCCAAGGGACCUGCGCCGUGCCAGACACUUCCACAGGACUCGCCCGGUUACGUAUAAUGUAAACCUGUUCUCACUGAAUGUUAGAAACUGGGGAUUUUGUCAGAAAAGGCUGCAGCUGACACGCAGUCUAUCCCCAGCAGGGGUUCCGAGAAAUGAAAAACUGGUGUUACCUGCUAUUUUCUUUAGAGUUGAAGUACUGAAAAUAUUGAAGUAAUGCACAUCAAAGGCUUUCCCAAGCAUUUUGCACGUGUCUGUGAGUUCCCCGAGGCACUUUUUAACCAUCUCUUCCCGCUGUGACAUUUUUGCCACAGAAGCCCUCUGCUUUCUGAUGGCACUGGCGCUUUCCGUUUCAUGAAACUCCACCUGUUAACACAAGCCAGUCAGUAACUUCUGUCAGGGGAGCUUCUGCAGAGCCCCCAUUAGAAGAUUGAUUGGUAACACAGGAAAACAGUGAAGGACAUCAAAAGUAUUCUUUGAUAGACCAAAAAAAGCUAUUUACCCAGUAUACACGCUUUAAAUUGUUUUCUUUUGGGUUUUUCUUUAUUAUUUUUGUUUUGGGUGGCUUUUUUUUUUUUUUUUAAACAGGCUACUCAACUGCCCCUAAGUUUCUCCUACAAAGAACUAGCAGAGUGUACACAACACAGGGAAAAAGUCCUGAGAACCCAAUUUACAGCUAGCUUUAAACAGAGGUCACUAGGUCUGAUGCUGAGGGCUCUGCUCUUCUCCAAACACAGCACUAAUGCAGAGGAGACAUUGCCUCAAGCAAUUCUGGGACCAGUUCCAUGACCUUGAAGUGCAUUUUCCAUCAGGGCUCACCAAUGACUGGGAAAAAAUAGAGCAGAAAAUGCAGGAGAAGGUAGCACUCUUCCUCCUUUUCUUCCUAGCUGGCUUUUUCUGUGUCGGUCAUAAAACUUUCCUUUCUUGUCAAGCUGGAAUCAGAUGGAUGGGGGGAGAAGAAAAAGUUUUAAUUCUCUCCAACCAUCUCAAACUCACCUUUUCCCUCACGAUGUUAUUGUUAGAAUACUGGACUAGAAAUCGUGCUUGUUGGGUUCUGUUCCCUGCAUCGACCCAGGAUUAGUUCCUGUACUUCAGCUGGUAGGCAGACUGUGCUCAAACUAUCCUAGGGGCUAGGCUACAUAAGAACUGCAGCACGUCCCCUAGAACAAUACACUGGAGAAAACCAAAAUUAACUGUUACGCACCUGUAGUGACCCGUUUAGCACAGCCUGAGCUUUCUCUCCUAGAAUUACAUAUGCUACCGCCUGGUCAUUGGCUGUGAUAUACAAGUCUUCGUCCAGGAUCUUGUCCAAGACCAGUUUUCUAAACAGCCUUUCAACAUUAUGCCUCGAGUAGGCAGCUCCCUUCCCAAAUAUUCCAGACUGAAUCUUCGCACUCUUGGAACCU